UGAGCAAUCUGCCCUUCUCUUCGGAAUAAGCGUUGGAAACGACGUCUAAUGCCGAAUACGACCUCCUUUCGCAUGAUCGGAGGUGGAAAGCUCCGGCGGAGAAGGAUGAGCUCGCGGCCUAUCAGCUAGUUGGUGUGGGUAAUGGCCCACCAAGGCGACGACGGGUAGCCGGCCUGAGGAGGGUGACCGGCCACACGUGGGACUGAGACACGGCCCAGACUCC
rnacentral:rRNA from 1 species